rnacentral:misc_RNA from 1 species
GUGAAUCAUCAAAUUUUUGAACGCAAAUUGCACUUUCUGGUAUUCCGGUGAGUAUGUCUGUUUGAGGGUCUGUUAAAUUAACAUCGGUGUUGUUGCUAGCCGUCGUGGGGUGUGAUGCAUCGGAAUUGAGUCGUUCUUUACUUUUGGUUUACGUGACUUAAAAUUAUGUUCGAUUUUUGAACGUAUUUAAAUUAUUACUUACGUUCGUUAUAUCACCUAUUAGUAUUGGUCAUUACCAUGAUUUCGCGUCUAUAAUUUUUC